rnacentral:rRNA from 1 species
AGCAGUCGCCGCGGUAAUACGAAGGGUGCAAGCGUUAAUCGGAAUUACUGGGCGUAAAGCGUGCGUAGGCGGUUUGUUAAGUCUGUUGUGAAAUCCCCGGGCUCAACCUGGGAAUGGCAAUGGAUACUGGCAAGCUAGAGUGUGUCAGAGGAUGGUGGAAUUCCCGGUGUAGCGGUGAAAUGCGUAGAGAUCGGGAGGAACAUCAGUGGCGAAGGCGGCCAUCUGGGACAACACUGACGCUGAGGCACGAAAGCGUGGGGAGCAAACAGGAUUAGAGACCCCCGUAGUCCCUGUCUCUUAUAA